rnacentral:rRNA from 1 species
GAUGAACGCUGGCGGCGUGCCUAAUACAUGCAAGUCGAGCGAACGGACGAGAAGCUUGCUUCUCUGAUGUUAGCGGCGGACGGGUGAGUAACACGUGGAUAACCUACCUAUAAGACUGGGAUAACUUCGGGAAACCGGAGCUAAUACCGGAUGAUAUUUUGAACCGCAUGGUUCAAAAGUGAAAGACGGUCUUGCGGUCACUUCUAGAUGGAUCCGCGCUGCAUUAGCUAGUUGGUAAGGUAACGGCUUACCAAGGCAACGAUGCAUAGCCGACCUGAGAGGGUGAUCGGCCACACUGGAGCGGGGCCGCGGUCAAGACUCCUACGGGAGGCAGCAGUAGGGAAUCGUCCGCAAUGGGCGAAAGCCUGACGGAGCAACGCGGCGUGAGUGAUGAAGGCCUUCGGAUCGUAAAACUCUGUUAUUAGGGAAGAACAUAUGUGUAAGUAACUGUGCACAUCUUGACGGUACCUAAUCAGAAAGCCACGGCUAACUACGUG